rnacentral:rRNA from 1 species
AUGAUUAAAGGAGAAGAUUGUUCUUUUACCAAACAUAUGUAGAUCAAACGUCUUAUAAUAAGAAGAAAUCUUUCUCGGUAUCAAUCCCCUUGCCCCUCAUUCUUUGAGAAUCAGAAGGAUCAUUUUCGAGUUCCCAUUUAUUCAUUUGGAAUCUAG